CCGCCCCUCGCACGCACGAUACCCACUCGCCCAUAUGCCACCGCCCUCGCUCGCCCAUACGCCACCGCCCUCGCUCGCCCACCCCCUACACGGCCGGCCGCCGCCGCCGCCUCACACCACCGCUCCUCCGCUCGGCCGCUGCCCCACAGAUGCGAUCGCCGUUGCCGUCCGCGGCUCCUCCGCUAGGUUGCUGCCGCAUGGAUGCGGUCGCCGCCCGUCGUUCGGCUGAUGUGUGAUGUCCAGUCACCGCCUCAUUUGCUACGGCGAGCCGCCGCCGACCUCCUCGGCCGAACACCAUGGCCAUGGACCAAGCUCUGCCAGACCUUCUCUCGCGACUUCCGGCCUUCCUCUCGACCAGAUCGACGACGGGACGCCCAGAUCCGAGUCAUCUGACACGACGCCGUUCGUUUCCGGCUUGCCUAGCCGCACUGAGCAUCCGAACCACCUCCCCAGACAGCGCCGCCAUCGUCGCCAAGGCGGCGCCGGUCUCGGCCACGGCGCAGGAGGUGUCGUCAUCACCGUCCUUGUCAUCAUCUGGCUGGGCCGUCGACGAUCUCCUGCAGUUCUCCCUACGGGCACCGUCGACGGCACUGAUAGUCUAUCACAAAUCAAUCAGGGAUAAGAAAAGCGAGGUGCAACUCAAGCGAAUAAACAGUAGAAGAAUGAAGAAGUAAGCAGGGGGUGGAUGUAGAUCCUCCAAGGGACCAUCAAGGUAAGGCAUUAAACUGAAUUUGUGGCACUACUGAAUAUAUGAACUGGCUUGUUAGGACCAACUUAUCUGAAACUAAUGUGUGAAAAGCUGGACAGGGCGAAAUAAUUUGUAAGUAUACUACAAAACUGUACGGAAAAUCUUAUGGCAAUUUUCCUAUUGAUGCUUCAAGGUACUGGUUGUGCCCACCUGUUGUGGGAUUGCUUCUACCUAAACCAUGUGGAUUACUCUUCGUACAAUUUUCUUGCAGUCAGUGUACUUGUGAAAUGCAUGCAGCAACAAGGUCUGCCAACCAUUGUCAUUGUUGCAAGAUUACUUUUCUGAAAGUUGUAAAGAGAACGAGAGAUAGAACUAAUGGGUUGGGCACAACAUGGCGCUCAGCAGCCCAUAGGAAACAAAUGGUUCUCUAAGUUGAGAUGGUGUUGUGAUUAAUUGUUGGCUUGUUGCCAUCAGAUUUACUUACAUGAAGAAAUGCAUGGUACAGAUGGUGUUACUUGCUGUUCUAGGUGUGGUGAUCUCAACAUUUUUGCUUGGCGCUCCUAUAAAGCUUACUUUUCCGUAUGACUGGAACUGGAAAACAUCAUUCUUGUUCGGCGGACGCUCAGUGCAACCGAUCAUGUUACUAUGAUUGCUCUUCUAAAAGACCUAGGCGCAAGCAAAAAGCUCAGUACGAUAAUCGAAGGAGAAUCCUUAAUGAACGAUAGUGUUGCUCUAGGCCUUGCAUUUGGAAUCGCAUCUCUACUAUGGCUGGGCUUUAUUUUCGAUGGUACAAUCAUACAGAUUUCACUAACACUCGCAGUCAGAUAUAUGGCUUUCUUCACUGUAAGAUAAUCAGAUAACGGGCAUAUCAAGGCUCUUAUAUUUCUAUUUUUAUCUCUAGAAGGACAUGAUUUGCUCAGUGUUUGGAAAUGGUUUUUAGCUCGAGUAAUAGAAUGGUUGUCAAGCAACCCUUUUUGCAACAUUGGGAUGCUGUUUUAAUGGCUUGUGAUGGCAAUCCAGGGUCAUUUCUGGAUGCAUUCAUGUGUGCCAAUGAGGUUUCCAUGUACUGAUGAUGUAAUACUAGAUUUUUUAUCUUGUCAA